CCCUACGGGGUGCGUCGGUCGAUGGGAAUAACUUCAUCGUCUAUCCGGGUAAUGCGACCCCAGCCACUUGGAAGCUGGAGAGCGUGGAUCUCACCAGCGUUUCCACGCUAGGAAACCUUUGCGGUAGAAGUCAGGUUUGGUUCGCCUUUAUUUUCGUGAGCGACGAAUCGACCUCCGGGCCGGAAUAUACCGGUGCUUUUGUGGACGACGUGACCAUCCAAAAGGAUAACCAACCGGACCUCUCUCCGUACCGACCCGCGAAGUGGAGCGACUCGGUUGCGAUUAGCCACAGCCAAUUGGCCGGCAGCGCCAGUCACCCCUACAGUGGCAAGUUCUACGAUAAUCUUCCUCUUUAUUUCAACUGGGCGGCGGGCGACCGUGGGAGCACGGCUUCCGGAUACACGGUACAUGCGCAGGUGACGGGCACGGGCGGGAGAGC
rnacentral:rRNA from 1 species